rnacentral:rRNA from 1 species
AUUGAACGCUGGCGGCAGGCCUAACACAUGCAAGUCGAGCGGAUGAAGGGAGCUUGCUCCUGGAUUCAGCGGCGGACGGGUGAGUAAUGCCUAGGAAUCUGCCUGGUAGUGGGGGAUAACGUCCGGAAACGGGCGCUAAUACCGCAUACGUCCUGAGGGAGAAAGUGGGGGAUCUUCGGACCUCACGCUAUCAGAUGAGCCUAGGUCGGAUUAGCUAGUUGGUGGGGUAAAGGCCUACCGAGGCGACGAUCCGUAACUGGUCUGAGAGGAUGAUCAGUCACACUGGAACUGAGACACGGGCCAGACUCCUACGGGAGGCAGCAGUGGGGAAUAUUGGACAAUGGGCGAAAGCCUGAUCCAGCCAUGCCGCGUGUGUGAAGAGGUCUUCGGAUUGUAAAGCACUUUAAGUUGGGAGGAAGGGCAGUAAGUUAAUACCUUGCUGUUUUGACGUUACCAACAGAAUAAGCACCGGCUAACUUCGUG